GACGGGCCAUAUGGAUUGGUGAGAGUUCCAAGUGCCAAGUCUUCUCUGCUCCACACUGCGCUGCCCGGGCGCGACGCGGAGCUCCUAUAGACUGCAGUCUGCUCAGCGCACACUGCAAGUCGGAAAACUGUCAUGACGGAAGAGUGAGAAUGGGAGAAAAGAGAAGGAGAGUGAGCGCUCUUUAUACAUUGUCAGUUAUUAUAUGUGAGUCUGGGAAUGUCCUUGUUGCUGAGACUCACGACUAGCUUAGAGACUCGGAUAGGUAGCUUUGUGUGUUUAACUGUUGCACCCGCUACCCCGCUUACCACAGAAUUGCAUCACGAAGUUUGCUAUUGUUUGUGUGCCAUUCUUGCUCUCCCGUUUCAACCAGAAAAGGAGCCACCUGUACCUCAGGUUCCGAACUUGUUUCAGGAUGAAACGUGGACACCUUGACGCAGAGGCCUAGAUGCAGAGAGAAUGCGUCUUUAUAAUCACUGGAUGCCCUCUGUUAACAUAAUAAAACGAAAUAGGCUUU